AAAGGUGCGGUAAGAGCGCACCGCGCGGGUGGCAACAUGCCGCGGCACGGUAAACCCCACUCGGAGCAAGACCAAAUAGGGAAGCAUGUGCCUUGUCCGCGGGCGCUUCCGGGUAGGUCGCUUGAGGCUGCCGGUGACGGCAGUCCCAGAUGGAUGAUCGCCGAUCUCGGCUGGGUAACCGACCGAGGUCUACAGGAUCCGGCUUACAAGACGACUCAUCCA
rnacentral:RNase_P_RNA from 1 species